GGUCUAUUCUGCCCUUUGUCCUGAAGUCCCUGCCGCAUGGAUGCCAUCAUGGUCUGCAUCCAAAUACAAUCAAUUUGUACACCAGUGGGACUGAACCAGAUGGGCUAGCUUUCUCUUCCCACGCACAUCAAUGAGCCUUGGGUUCCAUGACCCUGUCAGAGGAUGUCCUUCCUUGUACCACAUUUGAUAGGGCUGGUGCAAACACAUGCUGAUAAUGAUGACCACUACUUUCACAAGUGGAAGUAUAAAGGUAGUGUGGCUGCAUAGAGGAGGUCGACUAUGCACACCGAUUGGAGAUCCGCAUCUAUUUUCAAGCAUGCAUUGUGGAUGUAUUACGUAUAGACUCUGAUCCAGGCCCUGUACACACAAUCAUGACAGUAUGAUAUAUUUGCUGUAAUUUAUAAUACAUGCAAAACAGCAGCUCAGAAGCAGCUAUGCAGUGUGGAGGUUUAGCCAAGGCAUGCGAGUGAUAGUACAAUGCUUUCUCCAGGCAUUCUCGAUCAUCCUGAAUGAACUCCAAAUGGCUUCCUGCCGGGUAUUCCAGCUGGAUUACAAGAAGCUAUAGCUCAAUGUCAUUUUCAAUGUGGAGCCUCAUAAUUAAAGGUCAAAUAGUCACUUCAUCCGCAAUCAAUCAAUAGAGAAAAAGUACUAAUAUCAAGUACUAAUCAAUCAAUGGCAAAGGUACUAAUAAAAGAAAUGAAUCAA